rnacentral:rRNA from 1 species
GGGGGGGGGGAGGGGGGGGCGGGACAGAUGCAAGUCGAACGGGGGCGCGGACUUCGGUCUGGCGGCGAGUGGCGAACGGGUGAGUAAUGUAUCGGAACGUGCCCAGUAGCGGGGGAUAACUACGCGAAAGCGUAGCUAAUACCGCAUACGCCCUACGGGGGAAAGCAGGGGAUCGUAAGACCUUUCACUAUUGUAGCGGCCGAUAUCGGAUUAGCUAGUUGGUGAGGUAACGGCUCACCAAGGCGACCAUCCGUAGCUGGUUUGAGAGGACGACCAGCCACACUGGGACUGAGACACGGCCCAGACUCCUACGGGAGGCAGCAGUGGGGAAUUUUGGACAAUGGGGGCAACCCUGAUCCAGCCAUCCCGCGUGUGCGAUGAAGGCCUUCGGGUUGUAAAGCACUUUUGGCAGGAAAGAAACGUCGCGGGCUAAUACCCCGUGGAACUGACGGUACCUGCAGAAUAAGCACCGGCUAACUACGUG